UUCGCAAUGCCCGAAAGGGUGACGAAGCGACGCCGCGUGUGGGAAGAAGGCCUUCGGGUUGUAAACCACUGUCGGGAGUUAAGAAAUGUAAGGAUAUUAAUAGUGUCUUUGUUUGACUAAGGCUCCGGAGGAAGCCACGGCUAACUCUGUGCCAGCAGCCGCGGUAAUACAGAGGCGGCAAGCGUUGUUCGGAAUUAUUGGGCGUAAGGAGCACGUAGGCGGCUAUGUAAGUCGGUUGUGAAAGCCUUCCGCUCAACGGAAGAACAGCAUCCGAUACUACAUGGCUUGAGUGCGGGAGGGGAGAGUGGAACUUCUGGUGGAGCGGUGAAAUGCGUAGAUAUCAGAAGGAACGCCGGCGGCGAAAGCGGCUCUCUGGCCCAUAACUGACGCUGAGUGUGCGAAAGCUAGGGGAGCAAACGGGAUUAGAUACCCCGGUAGUCCUAGCCGUAAACGAUGGGCACUAAGUAGAGGGGUUUU
rnacentral:rRNA from 1 species